rnacentral:rRNA from 1 species
UUAGUUGAUCCUGGCUCAGGAUGAACGCUAGCGGCAGGCUUAACACAUGCAAGUCGAGGGGUAGAGUAGCAAUACUUGAGACCGGCGCACGGGUGCGUAACGCGUAUGCAAUCUACCUUUUACAGAGGGAUAGCCCAGAGAAAUUUGGAUUAAUACCUCAUAGUAUUGUGAAGUGGCAUCACUUUAUAAUUAAAGUCACAACGGUAAAAGAUGAGCAUGCGUCCCAUUAGCUAGUUGGUAAGGUAACGGCUUACCAAGGCUACGAUGGGUAGGGGUCCUGAGAGGGAGAUCCCCCACACUGGUACUGAGACACGGACCAGACUCCUACGGGAGGCAGCAGUGAGGAAUAUUGGACAAUGGGCGCAAGCCUGAUCCAGCCAUGCCGCGUGCAGGAUGACGGUCCUAUGGAUUGUAAACUGCUUUUAUACGAGAAGAAACACUACUUCGUGAAGUAGCUUGACGGUAUCGUAAGAAUAAGGAUCGGCAUCCUC